UUACUGCAGUCACUGAGUCAGAUGGCCUGGCCCCAGGCUCUGUGAGUUAAGCAGGCUUAUAAAUAGGCUGGCUGUUAACACACACGACAGGAACGGAGAAUGAAUUUGGUGCCGGAGCGUUUCCUUCUGCAAUCAGGAUUCUGUGGGGGAGCUGACACUUCACAUUUAGAUUGCAUAGAAGUAAAGCCUCUGGUAACAGGUGUGACCUACCAGUAAGCUUGACUAAUGCUCACCACUGCUCUGUCCUGGCUGGCUUUAAUGGAAAAUCACCAUAAAGUCCACUAGAAAUGGCAUCCAAGCUUGCAGAUGCAGCCAGAACUUCAGAAGAAAUUGGACUUAGAUACAGGUCCAUUGUCCUCUCAAUCAUUAUCAUCAUCAUCAUCAUCUGUUGACAUCAACCAUUUAUC